UCUUGAAACUUGGACAAACUCAAAGGUUGUCAGAGAAUGAAUACAUCCCAAUUAGCCACUGUCAAAGCUUACAUGGCAGAUGGAGAUAUAUUGUCUCUGAUUAAAGGAUCACCAGGGCUCGAAACUUUAAAGGACUGUAAAGAUAUUCUGCUUAAAGCCACUAACGCAGUGUUGGAUGAGAAUGCUGAUGUGACUGGGACCUUCACAUAUGGCCCAGAGAUCGGGGAUGCUGAAUUUCGAGAUGAGCUGGCCAUGUUUCUUACACAAGAGUAUGGUGAUGAGGUAAAAAGCUCCCACUUAAUGGUGACAGCAGGCGCUUCCCAAGCUCUGCACAUGAUCACCACGGUUAUGUUCAGCAAAGACAGCAUUGUCUUUGUGGAGGAACCCACCUACUUUGCUGCUAGCAUGAUGCUAUCUGUUGACCUCCAGAUGAAAGUAAUACCUGUGCCUUGUGAUGCAGAUGGAAUAAAUGUGGAAGAACUUGACCACCUCUUGACCAAGUACCGACCAGCUCACCAGAGACCAACAGAGUCAAAAAGACCUUUCUGGGCUUUUGUCUACACUGUUCCUGUCUACAACAAUCCAACUGGACGAUGCUAUUCUCCCAGUCGAUGCCGGAGUCUGGUUGAGGUUGCUCGAAAGCAUGAAAUUCUCCUGGUAGCAGAAGACGUGUACAAUCUCAUCCAUUUUGGUGAGGAUCCUUUUCCACCGCCCCGCCUUCUGUCGUAUGAUUGUCCUGCUGACCCUGACUAUAAAGGUCAUGUCUUGUCUAUUGGAACCUUCUCCAAGAUCUUGGCACCAAGCUUACGACUUGGCUGGGUAGAGGCACCAGAGUGUAUCCUGCUUCAUCUAAACAACAGAUUGAGAGUAACCUUGUUUGGAGUGGUGGCAGUCUCAACCACUAUGCCUCCAAACUGGCAGCAGCAGCUAUGCACCUUGGGCUACUGCCACCCCACGUACAUUUUUUGCGCCAGGUGUACAAGUCACGGUGUGAUGCAGUGUGUCAGAUUCUGAGAGAUGGCUUACCUGAUGUUGUCACCUUUACUCAACCGCAGAGAGCGUGGACACAUUUGAGAUGUUGAAGUUCAUGGUGGACAAGCACAAGAUCAGUUUUUUCCCUGGUAUAUGUUUUUCAGCACUUGGGAGGUCUGGAAACUGUGCUCGCAUCUGCUUUAGCUUUUAUGAGAAAAACAUUCU
rnacentral:misc_RNA from 1 species